GUCCUAGCCGUAAACGAUGGGCACUAGGUGUGGGAGGUAUCGACCCCUUCCGUGCCGCAGCUAACGCAUUAAGUGCCCCGCCUGGGGAGUACGGCCGCAAGGUUGAAACUCAAAGGAAUUGACGGGGGCCCCGCACAAGCGGUGGAGCAUGUGGUUUAAUUCGACGCAACGCGAAGAACCUUACCGGGGCUUGAACUGCACUGGACUGCCCUAGAAAUAGGGUUUCCCCGCAAGGGGCUGGUGUAGAGGUGCUGCAUGGCUGUCGU
rnacentral:rRNA from 1 species